CCUACGGGAGGCAGCAGUGGGGAAUUUUGGACAAUGGGCGCAAGCCUGAUCCAGCAAUGCCGCGUGAGUGAAGAAGGCCUUCGGGUUGUAAAGCUCUUUUGUCAGGGAAGAAACGGUGAGGGCUAAUAUCUCUUGCUAAUGACGGUACCUGAAGAAUAAGCACCGGCUAACUACGUGCCAGCAGCCGCGGUAAUACGUAGGGUGCAAGCGUUAAUCGGAAUUACUGGGCGUAAAGCGUGCGCAGGCGGUUUUGUAAGUCUGUCGUGAAAUCCCCGGGCUCAACCUGGGAAUUGCGAUGGAGACUGCAAGGCUAGAAUCUGGCAGAGGGGGGUAGAAUUCCACGUGUAGCAGUGAAAUGCGUAGAGAUGUGGAGGAACACCGAUGGCGAAGGCAGCCCCCUGGGUCAAGAUUGACGCUCAUGCACGAAAGCGUGGGGAGCAAACAGGAUUAGAUACCCUGGUAGUCCACGCCCUAAACGAUGUCUACUAGUUGUCGGGUUUUAAUUAACUUGGUAACGCAGCUAACGCGUGAAGUAGACCGCCUGGGGAGUACGGUCGCAAGAUUAAAACUCAAAGGAAUUGACGG
rnacentral:rRNA from 1 species